rnacentral:rRNA from 1 species
UACGUAGGGACCGAGCGUUGUCCGGAAUCAUUGGGCGUAAAGAGCGUGUAGGCGGCUAUUUAAGUCCUGCGUGAAAUCCUGCGGCUCAACCGCAGACGGUCGUGGGAAACUGGAUGGCUAGAGUGCGGGAGAGGAGAGUGGAAUUCCCGGUGUAGCGGUGAAAUGCGCAGAUAUCGGGAAGAACACCCGUGGCGAAGGCGGCUCUCUGGGCCUGUCCUGACGCUCAGGCGCGAAAGCGUGGGGAGCAAACAGGG